UACGUAGGACGCAAGCGUUGUCCGGAAUUACUGGGCGUAAAGCGCUCGUAGGUGGUUUGUCGCGUUGUCCGUGAAAACUCACAACUCAAUUGUGGGCGUGCGGGCGAUACGGGCAGACUGGAGUACUGCAGGGGAGACUGGAAUUCCUGGUGUAGCGGUGGAAUGCGCAGAUAUCAGGAGGAACACCGGUGGCGAAGGCGGGUCGCUGGGCAGUAACUGACGCUGAGGAGCGAAAGCGUGGGGAGCGAACAGG
rnacentral:rRNA from 1 species